GCGGCCUCGGGUCCUACCCGGGGCCACGUCUGUCUGAGGGUCGGAUUAUGCUUGCAGAAGGGAGUUUCUUCCUGAUUGGUUGUGCCGGCUGCGUCCGCCGACCUAAAUUGUGUGAGUUUUCGACCCCGGCCGAGAGGCAUGCCACGAGAGGAUGUCCGAGAGCGGGAGUGGCAAAGUGCCUGCCUGCAAGCUUGGACCAGUGGUGGAAACCUGUGCUGGGGAAUUCAGAUGUGGAGUCUAUCUCCUACUUAACUUUGUCGACCUCAGAUCAGGCGAGACGACCCGCUGAAUUUAAGCAUAUAACUAAGCGGAGGAAAAGAAACCAACCAGGAUUCCCUC
rnacentral:rRNA from 1 species